rnacentral:rRNA from 2 species
GCGAAGUGAAGCGGCAAUUAAGCUUCCAAAUUUUGAAAUCCUGGGCGUCUUCGGCGUCCGAGUUGUAAUUUGAAGAAGGUAUCUUUCGGUUUUGGCUCUCGUCUAUGUUUCUCGGAACAGGACGUCACAGAGGGUGAGAAUCCCGUGCGAUAAGAUGCCCAAUUCCAUGUAAAGUUCCUUCGACGAGUCGAGUUGUUUGGGAAUGCAGCUCUAAGUGGGUGGUAAAUUCCAUCUAAAGCUAAAUAUUGGCGAGAGACCGAUAGCGAACAAGUACUGUGAAGGAAAGAUGAAAAGAACUUUGAAAAGAGAGUGAAAAAGUACGUGAAAUUGUUGAAAGGGAAGGGCUUGAGGUCAGACUUGGUUUACCAGGCCAGCAUCAGUUUGGAUGGCAGGAUAAUAGCUAAGAAAUGUGGCACCAUUUCGGUGGUGUGUUAUAGUCUUGGUUGAUACUGCCUAUCUAGACUGAGGACUGCGUCUUUGACUAGGAUGCUGGCAUAAUGACCUUAAGCCG